UGGGGAAUUUUGCACAAUGGGCGCAAGCCUGAUGCAGCGACGCCGCGUGAGGGAUGAAGGCCUUCGGGUUGUAAACCUUUUUCGCUCAUGGUCAAGCCGCAGCUUUGGGUUGUGGUGCGGGUAGUGGGUAAAGAAGCGCCGGCUAACUACGUGCCAGCAGCCGCGGUAAUACGUAGGGCGCGAGCGUUGUCCGGAAUUAUUGGGCGUAAAGGGCUUGUAGGCGGUUGGCCGCGUCUGCCGUGAAAUCCUCUGGCUUAACUGGGGGCGUGCGGUGGGUACGGGUUGACUUGAGUGCGGUAGGGGAGACUGGAAUUCCUGGUGUAGCGGUGGAAUGCGCAGAUAUCAGGAGGAACACCGGUGGCGAAGGCGGGUCUCUGGGCCGUUACUGACGCUGAGGGGCGAAAGCGUGGGGAGCGAACAGG
rnacentral:rRNA from 1 species